rnacentral:rRNA from 1 species
UGGGGAAUUUUGGACAAUGGGCGAAAGCCUGAUCCAGCAAUGCCGCGUGUGUGAAGAAGGCCUUCGGGUUGUAAAGCACUUUUGUCCGGAAAGAAAUCCUUGGCUCUAAUACAGUCGGGGGAUGACGGUACCGGAAGAAUAAGCACCGGCUAACUACGUGCCAGCAGCCGCGGUAAUACGUAGGGUGCAAGCGUUAAUCGGAAUUACUGGGCGUAAAGCGUGCGCAGGCGGCUUGCUAAGACCGAUGUGAAAUCCCCGGGCUCAACCUGGGAACUGCAUUGGUGACUGGCAGGCUAGAGUAUGGCAGAGGGGGGUAGAAUUCCACGUGUAGCAGUGAAAUGCGUAGAGAUGUGGAGGAAUACCGAUGGCGAAGGCAGCCCCCUGGGCCAAAUACUGACGCUCAUGCACGAAAAGCGUGGGGAGCAAAACAGGAUUAGAUACCCUGGUAGUCCACGCCCUAAACGAUGUCAACUAGUUGUUGGGGAUUCAUUCCUUAGUAACGUAGCUAACGCGUGAAGUUGACCGCCUGGGGAGUACGGUCGCAAGAUUAAAACUUAAAGGAAUUGACGGGGUCAUAGCUG